GUUUGAUUCGUCGCAGUCAUGGCAAGCUGUAGAAUUCGACGUUCAAGGUGUAAUGAGGACGAGGCCAUUGAGUCCAUACCUUGCUGAUGAUCAACUCGCAUUCAAAUCAGUAGCAAUUAUCGAGUCUGAGGAAGAAAUUUCAUGGAAUUUCGCGAGCUCUUGAAGACCUGCCGGAAGUGUUAGGGUAUAACGAUGCGUUCGACCUUAAGUUCCAAGAUUUCGACGGGAGUUUUGUGUAAUUUGUGUGCUUGAUGGUGAUUGCAGCUGAUCAGAGUUUAAACUCUCAAUCUGUAACGUGGAAGAUCUAGUUCAUCGGGCGGAGCGAGAGCUGCUUGAAGCUUGAUGAGGAAGGGGAUCGGGAGUGGAAUUUCAGGAUGGCAUUCAGGCUCUGGAUUAUGUUAAGCUGGAAGCCAGAUGAGGCAUGUUCUGUCUCUUUCUGUUGAUGUAUAGCUAAAUUUCCAUCGUCUUCGGCGACUAUAGAAAUUCAUGUUUGGUAAGAGAGCUUAUGCAGUCUUAUGGAGUGGGAUUUAGGUUGGUUUUGUUUAUUGUCAUGAGUCUAGAAGAGUUGAAAAGGAAGCAGUCCGUACCCUUCAGGUUACGUUGCUAAUUGUUUUUUAAGUUGCCAAUUCAAACUGUAUGACAUUGAUAAGUUGUCGACUAACCAUCCGAGACGGAAUCAAAAGUAUAGCUGGUAGAAAGGAGCAAGAAAUGGUGGAUCAUGGACAAGUCACAGUCUCUGCUAUUCAGUUGGCUUGGCAGUUGGCUUGCGCGUCAGGUGCAAUUUCAUCCAAAAAUGAACGCAUGAAGAGGCAUACGAGCGCUCCACUUGUCUACAAGGUAAUGUUGGAUUUUAUAAGCCUCAUCGCAAUACGUAUUUAAAUAUAAACAUGAGCAUUCCAACUAUGUAUUCCUGCGUGAAGUGGUUUCUUCAGUUCCAUUCUUGGAGGUUUUGUAUGAUACAUGCAAACGCAUGCUUUUCAUUCGAAUAUGAGAGUGCCAUCUUGGCCAGAGUCUGGCCUUCGCGGGAUUUGGGAGGUGUAGUUUUUGAACAUCUGGCAGUAGUGCGUGGCUUAUGGAGUGCAGCACACCCAUUUUGAUUCAGUGACUUAAUUUCCAAACGUCCUCUGGAUUUGUCCUAUGAGGUAAGCAGGUAAUUGCACGACCGUGUUUUGAAAACUCAAGUUAGCUAUUCACAAUGAAAAAAACUAAGUCAAAGUCCUAGUAGCGAUUCUUUUACGACUAAGAAGGGGAAACCGUCAAUGGUGGCUACAAUAGUAAACUGAAGAGUUUGUGGAAGGGCUUAUCAUUCUGUAGCAGAUUUACUUGUCUUGGGCUACUUGAUGGGAGGUUUUCUGAAGGCUGUUCCUUUACUUCAUGAAGCCAUCUUUGAAUCGGUGUGGAAAGAAAUCCGGUUGCAGCUCUCAGGAUCUAUAUUAUACUUAUCGGACCGCAGCUUUUAAUACUCUAGAAGGAUCUCUGGAUAUGUGGUGAUCACUGCACAAGCCUUUCAAAACUGGAUGAGAAUGCACUACUUCUAGCGAGGCGGCAUGAAGGUGUCUGGAAGGACCUAAGUAAGAGGAAACCGUUCUAUUGUUAGACUGCUUAGCUGGAGUAUGUGCAUUGAAUUUCUAUUUAUAGUGAUGACGAUGCUGGUGACAGCAUCCUUUCCAUUUUCCUUCUUUUCAUUGCUAAUAAUCAACUAAUGCGGGUCUCGGGGCUUGCUGGUUCAUAAACCGUGAAUUUUGUCUUGGAUGGUGACUUUGAUUGUGGACACGCAAACAACACUUCGGUAUGUAACCGGAAGUAGUCUGAGUGAUCCAACCUGGGUAUAACAGUUCAAUUCGAUAGCCAUCAUAUUUAGCGUUUUGGUUGCCUGGAGAUUAGGAGGGAUGAGUGACAACAGGGUCAAAGCAGCGUUUUAAGGUCUAAGUCGUUGCUCGAAUUAUGAACAGAGCUCAGAGCUACUCGGAAAUGAACCAUGUGGAGUCUCUGGAAUGGUCAAAACCAGAGAAAUAAUGCUCUGGAUUAUACCAUUGGGGAUUUUAUUCACUUUGUCGUUGCUCUACACGCUAUGAGGCUGCAAAAUGUGGCAUAAGCGACCAUGUCGGGUUUGUCUUGUUUUCCAUAUCAAAUAUUCAUUCAGUGACAAGUAGAGAAAACUUUCUAACCCUCGUGGUGUCCACCUUGCAAAGUGUUUUCUAUUUCCUUGCCCCAGAUAUAUUGACAAGUUUGGCAUAGAUGGCAGUGAAGUCAAGGAAACCAGAUGUUUUGUUCAUUAUUUUAAUAAUUAUGGUUGUUGUUAUUGUUAUUUCCGAAUUUUUUAAUUGUUUUAAAGAUUUUAAACCCUACAAGUUGGAUGUGCAGGAAAUGUUCACUACGAAAUUUAAUAAAAAGUGCGGCAGCAACUUUUGACUGGCUCCAUGUAAGUAACUUGCAACUCAACCUUGGAAGAGUGGCAUAUUUAUGGCCCUUCGAUCUUUGUUGUUUCACCAAGACUAUACACUGUGUUGCUUUGACUUA